GAAAAUGUGGGGGCUUAAGAUAGGGGAAGGUAGCAAUGAUCCCUACCUUUACAGUACCAACAAUUUUCUGGGAAGGCAAACGUAGUUCAAUCCAAAUGCAGGCAUAGCUGAAGAACGAGCUGAGGGUGAAGAAGCUCGUCUUAAUAUCUACAACAAUCGGUACAUUGUUCAACCCAGUUCUGAUCUUCCCUGGCAAAUGCAGUUUCUAAGAGAGAAGAAGAUGCAACAAACCAUUCCCCAACCAAAGAUAGAGGAUGGUGAAGAAGUGACAUAUGAAGUUAAAACUGCAGCAAUGAAGAGAAGUGCCCACUUGUUUUCAGCUCUACAAUCAAAACAUGGCCAUUGGCCAGCUGAGAAUUCUGGCCCCAUGUUUUGUUUUCCUCCUUUGGUCAUGUCUCUAUAUAUCACAGGUCAUCUCAAUACUAUAUUCUCUCCAGAGCAUCGCAAAGAAAUUCUCCGUUGUAUUUACUAUCAUCAGGUAAUAAAUAUAAAUAUAAAUAUAAGUAGAUAUAUGUAUUGAACGGUGGAUUGAUAAUAAUAAUAAAAAGAAAGUUUGUUUUGG